CUCAAAAUAGCCACCGGGCGCUCAGAUCGUAUCGUUGUUCAUGAAAAGCAAUAGUCAAUUCCUCCUUACCCUAAACCUAAACUCUCAUCGAUGGGGCUCGCUCGGAUGUUCAGAUUCAAUCGGACCUUCGCUCCGACCACACCUGAUCUCCAGCCCCAUCACCAAGAGAGGCUGAUAUCAAUAAUGGCUUCGAUUCAAGUCGAUUCUCCGACCGGUAAUCUUCGGUUUCGGGAUCCCAAUUCUUCGUUGAGAAUUGGGGUCUCAAUUCUUCGUUGAGAAUCGGUUCUCGCUUUCGGAAAAAGAUUUCGCUUAUGCAAGAGAGUUUUCUUACGAAUCUUUACCUUCUCGAUCUUCAUCUGCCGGCACCACUAUUAAUACCAAGCAACUGGCCUAGAAAUAUUAAAAGGAAGUCUUUUUCUGAUGCUAAGGCCCCCGGUAAUGCUGUAAUACAUGCAUGUCAAGUGACGACUUAACAGUCUACCAGCCUUUCUUUGCUGGAAAUUGGGCUCUAGUCUAUUAGAAGCGCUCUCAAGAACUUUUUCAUAGUCCAAUCGAAUUUUCAAAACAGUAAGAAUAGUUAUAUAAAUUGUACAAAUAUGCGACGGUGAACUUGAUUAGUUUUUCUUUCUAUAAUGUGAUGCAUGCAUUAGUACAGUUUAGAUUGGUAGAUUAGGAAUUGCACUGCAAUUGAUUGGUUUUUAUGUUUAAAUAAUGCCACUUCAGCUAUUGAUCUGCAGUCGGUAUAAUUUUUACAAAUGUAAUUUAUGUUUUGGCCCGAAAAAAUUAAAAUUUUAGUUCCGCCACUGCUUGGAAAUGAUGCGUCCUCACGAAUGAGCAUAUAGCGAACUUCUCAGAUAGUUCUCCAGUUCUUCUUGAUGUCCAUCCCUGGAUGCAAUGGAGCUGCGGUUCCAGUUAUUGUACAUUUGGUUGUACUUGUUUUAUCUGUUUCUUCUGUAUCUUUUGCUGCUAUGCUUUUGUGUAUCUGCAUUCAUUUGGUGGU